GAUCAUGGCUCAGGAUGAACGCUAGCUACAGGCUUAACACAUGCAAGUCGAGGGUCAGCAUUUCAGUUUGCUUGCAAACUGAAGAUGGCGACCGGCGUCACGGGUUGAGUAACACGUAUCCAACCUGCCGAUAACUCCGGGAUAGCCUUUACGAAAGAAAGAUUAAUACCGGAUGGCAUAUGAUUAUCGCAUGAUAAUCCUAUUAAAGUAAUUUCGGUUAUCGAUGGGGUAUGCGUU
rnacentral:rRNA from 1 species